AUUAGGCAAAUCCGGUACUCGUUAAGGCUGAGCUGUGAUGGGGAGAAGACAUUGUGUCUUCGAGUCGUUGAUUUCACACUGCCGAGAAAAGCCUCUAGAUAGAAAAUAGGUGCCCGUACCGCAAACCGACACAGGUAGUCAAGAUGAGAAUUCUAAGGUGAGCGAGCGAACUCUCGUUAAGGAACUCGGCAAAAUGACCCCGUAACUUCGGGAGAAGGGGUGCUCUUUAGGGUUAACGCCCAGAAGAGCCGCAGUGAAUAGGCCCAAGCGACUGUUUAUCAAAAACACAGGUCUCUGCUAAACCGUAAGGUGAUGUAUAGGGGCUGACGCCUGCCCGGUGCUGGAAGGUUAAGAGGAGUGGUUAGCUUCUGCGAAGCUACGAAUCGAAGCCCCAGUAAACGGCGGCCGUAACUAUAACGGUCCUAAGGUAGCGAAAUUCCUUGUCGGGUAAGUUCCGACCCGCACGAAAGGCGUAACGAUUUGGGCACUGUCUCAACGAGAGACUCGGUGAAAUCAUAGUACCUGUGAAGAUGCAGGUUACCCGCGACAGGACGGAAAGACCCCGUGGAGCUUUACUGUAGCCUGAUAUUGAAAUUCGGCACAGCUUGUACAGGAUAGGUAGGAGCCUUUGAAACGUGAGCGCUAGCUUACGUGGAGGCGCUGGUGGGAUACUACCCUAGCUGUGUUGGCUUUCUAACCCGCACCACUUAUCGUGGUGGGAGACAGUGUCAGGCGGGCAGUUUGACUGGGGCGGUCGCCUCCUAAAAGGUAACGGAGGCGCUCAAAGGUUCCCUCAGAAUGGUUGGAAAUCAUUCAUAGAGUGUAAAGGCAUAAGGGAGCUUGACUGCGAGACCUACAAGUCGAG
rnacentral:rRNA from 1 species